rnacentral:rRNA from 1 species
GCUCAGGACGAACGCUGGCGGCGUGCUUAACACAUGCAAGUCGAGCGGAAAGGCCCUUCGGGGUACUCGAGCGGCGAACGGGUGAGUAACACGUGAGUAACCUGCCCCAGACUUUGGGAUAACCCUCGGAAACGGGGGCUAAUACCGGAUAUGACACAGCUUCGCAUGGGGUCUGUGUGGAAAGUUUUUCGGUUUGGGAUGGGCUCGCGGCCUAUCAGCUUGUUGGUGGGGUGAUGGCCUACCAAGGCGACGACGGGUAGCCGGCCUGAGAGGGCGACCGGCCACACUGGGACUGAGACACGGCCCAGACUCCUACGGGAGGCAGCAGUGGGGAAUAUUGCACAAUGGGCGGAAGCCUGAUGCAGCGACGCCGCGUGAGGGAUGACGGCCUUCGGGUUGUAAACCUCUUUCAGCAGGGACGAAGCGUGAGUGACGGUACCUGCAGAAGAAGCGCCGGCCAACUACGUGCCAGCAGCCGCGGUAAGACGUAGGGCGCGAGCGUUGUCCGGAUUUAUUGGGCGUAAAGAGCUCGUAGGCGGCUUGUCGCGUCGACUGUGAAAACUCAGGGCUCAACUCUGAGCUUGCAGUCGAUACGGGCAGGCUAGAGUUCGGUAGGGGAGACUGGAAUUCCUGGUGUAGCGGUGAAAUGCGCAGAUAUCAGGAGGAACACCGGUGGCGAAGGCGGGUCUCUG